rnacentral:hammerhead_ribozyme from 1 species
GCACUGCAGAAGAGCCCCAUAAUAAGACGAAACGGCCGUCCAGUGC